CGAGUCAGUUGGAGGUAGGCGCUGCUCCAAAAUCAAUGUUGAUACUUUUAUGUCGCUUGAUUUGGCUACUGUUUGCAUUGCCUAUUGGGAGCUCUCGUGUGCUCUGUCUUCACAUCUCAAACGAAUAUCAUUCGGAGAGCCUCUCCAGUAGUGGCACAGCUGUUUGAUAGGUGUUUUGCUGCUGUUGUUGUUCGCUUAUGAUAGCAAAGGUGUGCGCUCGUGUGUGUGUACAAAUGUAUGCUUACUUGGGCUAGCCUUGAUCGGUUUUGUGUUCAGGUUGGGUUUGGCUUCGAUCUGCUGCGAUGAACGUUGGUUAUCGUUGUUUGCUUGUUUACGGCAUAAAUCGUGUUGGUCUCUUUGGGGGACUUGAGUGUAUGUAUUGCUGCUGCUGCUGCUGCUGCUGCUGCUGCUACUGUCAGCGUUGUCGUUGCCGCUAGUACUAUUGGCGUCAUUGUGUAUGCCGCCGUCGUUAUGGCUGGCGCUUUUGUCUGCCAGCGUCGUAGUAGUACAUUUUUGUGACUUUCUGAGACGUUGAUGGAGAAAUUUUCGAUCAGUUUAAGUUUUUCAUUUGCCCCGAACGCAAGCAAAGAAAAUUUACGAUACCUUCUACCUUCUUAAAGUGCACAACAGCAAUCAAUAAUAACCGACAAAAAAAAAGAAAAGAAUUCAAAAGAAAACAACAGAGUAAUUUUUUAAACGCGUUUAUGCGUGAAUUUAUGAUAAAUCAAACAAAUAUAUAAAUAACAAAUCUAUAAAUACAACUGCGAUCAAUCAACAAGAAAUAUAAAUAGAAAAGUGCAAAU
rnacentral:sRNA from 1 species